rnacentral:lncRNA from 1 species
GAAAUGACUAUGAUGCCCCUAAAAUACAUAAAACACUUAAUUAAAAUAAAACACACAUAAUUAAAUUAUAAGAAACUUAAACAUAUAAAAGUAAGGGUUGUUAGUAAGACUUGAUAUGUAAAAUGAAGAUUUUCUCCUUUAUAAAUAUGCAUUUUCUAACACUCAACAUACCCCCCAACCAGCUUAUUGCUAGUCCCUAGCAAAUAAAGCGAAAACAAAAUUCAAAAAUGAUUUUUUUAAAACACUCUUGUUUAUUCAAUCAGACUAAUGAUAACAAUCAAAUAAAAGUAUAAGUAUUAUCUCAAGUCGAAAGAAAGAUCACACCCACAUCAAUCAUCCACAUGAAUCAGCCUAAUAGACUUUGUCGUAGCUACCUUCAAGAAUGACAUGUCAAACCCCAAAAUCUCACUAGAAGUAGUGACACUCUCACAAAGAAAUUAAACCCAAUAAAAAUAGUCACUCCAAUGAAUGGUAGUUGAGAGAAAAUAAUAAAGAAGUGAUAUCACAUGCUCUCCCCAAAAUGAAAGAAAUAUGCCCUUAGCUUAGAAAUAAUACGAUCUCUAGUCAAAUAAAAAUGCUAGUCAACCCAAUUUAUUUAUUUUUUUUUUUCAUGCAUCACUACAUUCUUUUAGCCCAUAUAACUAGGCUAGGGACAUGACUAACAAAGAAGGGAAAUAAGAAAAAUAAAGUGUAUGUUUGAGAAAAAUGCAGAGGAUUUUUUUUUGGAAGUUGCAAGGUGGAUUUCACCUAUUAUUAUUAUUUUUCUUUGAAACAACAAUUUCUUUUUUUUUUUGAAGCAACAAUUUUUUUUCUUUUUUUUUGAACUAGGCAUAACUUCACUAUACAAAAUGUUUAUUUACAUUUUUUUCUCAAACAUAAAUAGGUAAUGGAUCUUAUAAGAUAUUGGGUAAUACUCCAAAUCGGAGUGGGUUAAGAUGAUAAGUUGACAAAUAAAAGGUUUUUUUUUAAAGGCUUAAAAGGGUUAACUAUGGAUAUUUGAUAAAAAAGGAUGGCUAGAAAGGCUCAAACGGAUCAAAGAUGACAUUUCCAUCAUCUUUUAGGGCUCUAAAUAAUCUUCCAUAUCUACUAAUUAGAUGGGCCUCCAAAUGUAGCAACACACAUUUUUUUUCUUUUUUUUUUUAAUUUUCAAUUUUUUUUUAGGGUUAACUCAAAAGAAAUCUAAAGAUCGUGUAUACAAUAAUAACUGCUAAGCUGUAUAAAAAAUGGGAAAAAGGGUUACUCUCCAAGAAAAAUGAUAGGCUCAAAAACUCACUUGGUAUUGAUUAUGACAUGUUCAUUCCUUCAAGCAACUCAUAUUUAUCUCCGACAUCAACAUGUAGAGUAGCAAACAUAGUGUAACAUCACUUCAGACUAAAGAUAAUACAAAUACUAAAAUUUGAAAUUCAUCAUGUCAUCCAAUGUUAAAACAAAUCACAUUUUUUUUUAAACAACACCCUACCCCCCAACCUAUUCUAAACAUGAAAAGAAAAUAUAUAUACAAAAAUGAGAAAAUGAUGCAGAAAAACUAAUUAGAAAAUGAUAGAAAACAAAAAUUGUUGUUUUUUUUUUGUUUUUUGUUUUUUUUAACUUAAGAAGAUGCAUUUUUAGAGUUACUACACUCCAUAUUCAGCCAUCUUUAACUAAAAAAAUUUGAAAAUGUAUUGUUCGUGAUUUGUGCAUUUUUUAAAACAAUGUGAGUUUCUCCAUAACUUGUUUAAUAUUUUUUUGAAGAAUGCAUUGUGAAAUGGAUUUUCUUAAGUGAAUUGUGAAGAUGGUUAAUGAGUGAACAUUUUGCUGCUUUAUGCUUGAAACUAGCAAUAUAAUCAUAUCUUGUGCUAGGGAUUAGAGGAAGUGUUGUGUAUGUUUAGGAUAAUCACAUACACUUUAUUUGCCAUAUUUAUUAUAGGUAAAAGCUAUAACGCUAUAUACAUUUUAAUGAAUGCAUUCAACAUGUUUGGAAAAAUUAAUGCCAAUUUUUACUGUGUUCUACUAUGUAUUUUAAGGCACUUUAGUGUAAACCAAAAUGACUGGAGUUGUUGCAUGUACAAAUAGAAUGCAUAGAAAUCUCGGUGUUUAGUGUUAAAGUAGUAUUGAGCAAUGAUUGGAGCUGCUGUAUGUACAGAUAGAAAGCAUAUAAAUCCCAAUGCUGAGUGUUAGAAGUAAUAUUGAGUAAAGCAAAUAAUAUAUUAUAAAUUAUCAGCUUCUUAGAUAGCUUUGGUAACCGUUGUUUGCUAUGGUAAUACAAUUUAUUUGCAUGUUCUUCAGUUUUGAUGUUAAUCCUGGCAAACUUAAAAAUAUAAGUGUUAGAAGUAAUAUUGAGUAAAGCAAAUAAUAUAUUAUAAAUUAUCAGCUUCUUAGACAGCUUUGGUAAUUGUUGUUUGCUAUGGUGAUACAAUUUAUUUGCAUGUUCUUCAGUUUUGAUAUUAAUCCUGGCAAACUUAAAAAUAUAUGUUUUUAUUGUGUUGUUUUAUUUUAGAACAGAUUCUAUAAUAUAUGAAUACAUUUUGUUGCUUUAUUUUUGAAGUUCAAGGGCUGUAAUGAGUACAUUAUGGAUGAUCUUUCGCAACUUCGCGAUCAGUGGGCGUUGUAUAUUGCAAAGUUACUUGUAGCAUACAAUAAUGAGGUAAAUCAUAUUUUUGCUUGUAAAUAUCAAAGAAUUGAUUUUUGUAGCAUAGUCGCUAAUUGAUUCUAUAUACUGUAAUUAUAGGUGGGAAAGGUGAAAGGAAAGGCAAAGAUCAAAGAGUAGAUGUACUGAUUGUUUCCUGGAAAGGCAAAGAUCAAAGAGUAGAUGUACUGAUUGUUUCCUGGAAAGGCAAAGAUCAAAGAGUAGAUGUACUGAUUGUUUCCUGGAAAGGCAAAGAUCAAAGAGUAGAUGUACUGAUUGUUUCCUGGAAAGGCAAAGAUCAAAGAGUAGAUGUACUGAUUGUUUCCUGGAAAGGCAAAGAUCAAAGAGUAGAUGUACUGAUUGUUUCCUGGAAAGGCAAAGAUCAAAGAGUAGAUGUACUGAUUGUUUCCUGGAAAGGCAAAGAUCAAAGAGUAGAUGUACUGAUUGUUUCCUGGAAAGGCAAAGAUCAAAGAGUAGAUGUACUGAUUGUUUCCUGGAAAGGCAAAGAUCAAAGAGUAGAUGUACUGAUUGUUUCCUGGAAAGGCAAAGAUCAAAGAGUAGAUGUACUGAUUGUUUCCUGCAAAUUGUCAUUAUGUGUUCAUGUAAAUAUUUGACAUGUUUUCAAACAAUAUGUUAGAUAUUUGUAUUAUUAUUUUAUUUGAUACCUAUUUAAAUGUUAGCAGGAAUGUUAUAUACUUAUAUUUAAUUAUUCAAAUUUUUACUUUAGUUUAAUUUAAAUAGAUUUUCUUUGAAUACCAUUAUUUCAUUGGGAAAACUAAAAGAAUAAUGAAAAUAAUCGAGUAACAACAAUAAUUUCAGCAUCUUUUCUUUGAAGCCAUUGACGCUAAAAAAUGUUUCAGCAUCAUAAUAUUAGUGAUGCUAUAGUAUUACAAAUUGCUGACACUAAAGUAUUAGUAUCUGUUCAUUCUAUCAUGUCAUCUCCCCUGUGUAAAACAAACUAUUGACGUGUAAUAAUUGUUAGUAAAUACUAUCACUAUAGUGUCAUAAUAUUUUGUGAUACUAUGGUGAAAGUAACUUUUAACAAGUGAUCAUUAUCAGUAAUUACUAAUACCAUAGUGUCAUGGAUCUGAUAAUACUAUAGUAAUAAUAAUCACUAACAUCAAUUACAAGUGUCACUAUUUUUCUGACUCCUAGAUUACUGACACAAUUAACAAGUGUCAGUGAAAGUAAUUUCUGACACUAUUCUAAAGUCAGUAAAGACUAUUUUUCUAGUAGUGAUAUAUAAACUCAAAAAUAUCAUUAUUCAAAUUUAGGAAUCAAAACAAUAAAUAUAUAAGGUAAUCAUUAUUAUAAUGAGUUUUUAUCUUAAAUUUGUAUGUUUUUAUUAUUUUUUCAAUAACUCUUUUAAUAUUUACUUAUUUUACAUUUCAUUUAUAAGUAUUCUAUUUCAUUUACAUAAUUUAUAUGUUAUUUUACACUUGACAUUGAUUUACAAGUUUUAUGUUGCAUCUAAAGGUUUAUGUUUUGUUUACAAUAAUAUAUUAUUUUACUACUCUAUGUUACUUUACUUAUUUUACAUUUUAUUUAUAAGUCUUCUCUUUCAUUUACAUAAUUUAUAUGUUAUUUUACACUUAUAUGUUAACAUGUAUGUGUCUAUAAUGUUGAUUUUGAUGAUAACAAAUAAAAUUAACAAUGAUUAAUCUUUUAAAAGCUCAAAUUAUUUUUCAUACAUUUUAAAUAAAUUAUUAUUUUCAUAAUAUAAAGGUUUUAUACUUAAUGAAAAAAUGGUUAUUUUUCAAGUUUAUGGUCUAAUUGAAAAAGUUUUGAAACUCUAGAAAUGGACUUAAUUGUAAAGUUUUUUGACGAUUUGGGUCAUAGUAUCAUUAUAGAAAGUUGGGGGCAAUCUUAUAAUUUUAGAAAAUAGUUUUACUGUAGCAUUUUUAGUAUAUAUUAUAUGUUAUUCACACUUUGAGCAUUAAUUUGUAAUCAUUUGCAUUGUGUGAGGGAAAAUUCAUUUCUAAUAUUUGUUUUUGAGUGAUUGUAAGUGUGGGGAUACACUUGGGUUAAGAGAUUGAGAAUAAUCUCUUAUUGUAAAUGUCUAUUGAUACCUUGGAAGUCAAUUGUAAGCAUUUGAAGCGUUGAGAGGUUUGGAUAGUGAAAUUCUUGAGUUUGGUUGGCUUGGAGGCAUGGACGUAGGCGGAAAUUGCCGAAUCACGUAAAAAUCAUUGUGUUUGCUCUCUCUUCCCUUACUCUUUUAUUAUUGUACUUUAUUAAAUUUGUUGUUUUUGAUUUCAUUGAGACAAUGAUUGAACUGUUGUGUUGUGUUGUUUAGCUUAAGUUUUAAAAUUCCAAUUUACCCCUCUCUUGGGUUGCAUAACUAGUAUUUUAUUAUAUUGAUUUGUAAGUUUUUUUGUUACAUUUGUAAGUUUAUAUUUUGUUUACCAAUAAUAAAUUAUUUUACCAAUCUUACAUUAAUUUACUUGUUUUACCUACGAUUUACAGGUCUUAUACUUUAUUUACUUUAUUUAUAUUUAAUUUUAUAUUUAAUGUUGACUUACAAGUUUUAUGUUAAAUUUACAUGUCUUAUAUUUUAUCUAUACAAUUAAUGUUUAAUUACGGUAUUGAUGUCCUAAUUUUAGUUAGGGCAUCAUAGGAUGACCCUUUAGUUUAUUAAUAAUCUUAUUGUGACAGAUUCGUCAAACCAAGGAAUAACUUAGGGUACCUCUUCCUUGGAUAAUAAAGGCAUGUCAUGUUUUGGCCCUCAUAGAAUUAAUUCCGUUUUUAUUUUUGAGAAAAAAUCAUAGUUAUGAACUUUUAUCUGCAUUAAAGUUUUGAUACAACAAUUAACCACAUUUAAUUCCUAGGGCAAACAGAAUCACGCACGCAUAUUUCUUGGGUGGGCGAUAUAAUAUUGCUAUGAAUUCUUUGGACAAUCAGAGAGACAAAGAUCCAGCUCCUCUUGGAGAAAAUUCAGGACAAUAUUCUUGAAAAUAUUGUUAAAUCAUAAAAAGAUUGUGGUGGCCAGACGGAUUAAUAAAUAAAUAGAUAGAGCUUCACAAGGGCUAAUGCUCUGUAUGAUUUUUAGUUGCGCUAGGCUUCCCAAAUUGCCGGGGAUUAAUAAACAAGGGCAAGUAAAGUUAGAGGCAAACUCCUAUUAGCUUGUUAUUAAAGAUUUUGUAAUUUACUUACCUCUCUAAGAAUGAUUGUUUAUUAGUCCUAUUAGGAAUAGGAUAACGUACAUACUCUCUAUAUAUUAUAUAUAUAUAAGAAGUACAUGCGCAUAUAGGACUGAAUUAAAUUUAUUUGUCUAGUUUUAUUAUUAGUCAUCAGCAGCCAUGGGCAGGAACUCGCAACUUCAUGUCGUUCUCGCCGCCAAGCUUUCUUUAGAUAGAAAGACAAUGUAUAUGAAAGUAAGUUGGUUAAUUAAAUUGAGUAGCUUAUCCACCCCGACUAGUUUUUGUAUAUUUACAAUUUUGUUUUUUUGUUUUUAUUAAUAAAUUUAAAACUAUUAAUUGCAUCUGCAUAUAUAUACGUAUGCAGUUGAUUUCGGCAGAUUUUGUCCCUGUGCUGUUCCUACACUUUUGGUGGGUGUAUGGCGUCGACACCCCUCUCAUGAAUUUGACGGCAAAAACAUGCUUCAUAGCACUAAUAAUGACAGUUUUGUUCGAGGUAAGGUGGAGGUAUCUAUUCAAAUAUUUUAAAAAGGUACGUAAAAAAAUUAAUGAUGCAUUGUAAUUAUUAAGGUUAUGGUUUGACGAGGAUACUAAUUUGUUAAUUUUUUUCUAUUAACUUAAUUAUGUUUUAUACAUUGUGUUUCAGGAAGCAGAUUUGGAGAAUAUCAUACAAUUUACUGAGACCCCACAUUAUUGUCAGGCAUGUCUCUACUAUUAAUAAUAUUGCAUAUAUAUAAUAAGAGUCAGCUUCCAAUCAAGGAAUCUCAAACUUUAUUAAAACCCAGGAUGUGUUUAUAAAUGUAUAUCGUUAGUUAAUUGCAUGUUGUUAAAUAAAUAAAUUAACCAGUUCCAGUUAGCUGACAAGCGAAUGGAUGGAUUAAAAUUAAUUACUUUCUGUUUUACAGAUAAUGUAUGAUCAUCAUCAGGAACCACCAAAAUCUCUCAUCAUGUCAUCUCUAGCAUUCCGCAUCUGUGCGGUUUGUCCAAAUGUGGCCCUCUACGUAGCACCGCUGGCAUUGUUUCUCAAACCAUCCGACGACGAAGGCUUAUUCUAUUUAAUGAUUUCUGUUUUGUUAGGCUUCUCGUAUUUCCAAAUAAGUUUUAUACAGCCGCUGCUACUAGAUUGUGAUGCUGAUACCUUGAAGUUUAUUAGAAGCCAACACCUGGUUUUUAUGGAAACCAAUAUCGCUGCUGCUACUACAGUAAAAGAACCACCUAACAAAUGAUUUGUUUUUAGUUUAUACUAGAGGGAUAUAGAGAGAAAGAAAGAGAAAUGUUCCUGUCCAUGAUCCUAAAAUUAUUAAAGUUUGGGAAAAUUAUCAAACCAUGAGUUUUAAUAGUAGUUUUAUUUGUUAAAGCUAUUAAGUCAUGUGGUUUAAUACUAUAAUUACAUAAUGCUAUUAAACACACUAUUUAAUAUCUUUUCUAAACUUUAAUAAAAUCCAAAAUCUUGGACUAACAAUUGAAAUCUUGUUAUUAUAUAUACUUGCAUGGUCAGUGCAUUUAGAGUGCGUUUGGCAUAUUGUAUUAUAUUACGGCAUUAUUUUAAUGCUUGUGUGUUGUAUUAUUAUAAUACUGUAUUGUAUUAAGUUUUUAUGAUUAAUUUAAAUUAAAUAUUAUAUUAAUAAAUUACAUUAAUAUAUUUAAAUUGUAAUAAUAUUUUAUAAUAUUAUUUAUACUAUUAUUAAUUUUAAAUUAAUAUUAUUAAAAUUUAUUCAUAUUUAAAUAAUUUUUAUUAGUUAUAACCAACAACAACAGCAACAACAACAACAACAACAACAACAACAACAAUAAUAUAAUAUUAAUUAAAACAUAAAAAUUAAUAAAUUUCUGCUGUGAAAAAAGCAAAUGUAAAGUUGGAAACCGAAAGGGGGAAAAAAAAAGAAAGAGCAAGCUGGCCCAUUAUGCAGUGUCCCUAUAACUUUUAGCUUACCAAAUAUGUAAUGAGGAGUCAUAAUAAAUUUAAUGUAAUGAAGAGUCAUAAUACAUCAACCAAACAUGCCUUUAUAGUGUGUUUGACAUACUGUAUUAUAUUAUGUUGUAUUGUAUUAAUAUUAUAUUAUAAUAAUAUUAUAGUUCUACACUGCAUUGUAUUAAUUUUUUUGUGAUUAACUUAAAUUAUAUAUUUAGAAAAUAAUAUUUUUUAGUACCUAGAAAAAUUCUAAAUAUAGAAGUCUUAAAUUUUAGAAAUUUAACAUUAUUUUUUAGUAUAAAUGUUAAAAAAUCAUUUUUUUUUCAUAAAGAUCGAAGCUUAUAGCCUUAUAUUCUCGGCAGCAUAACAUUUAUUUUUUAGUAUUUUCUAAAUAUAUAACAUCUGAAAUAAAGAAUGAAGUGAAUAAUUUAAUCAAAUAAUCUCUAAAUAAUAUCAUAAUGUAAUGAUAUUUUAUAUUAUUAUUUUUAUUGGUAUAAUUUUAAAUUAAUAUUAUUUAAAUCUGCUGUACCGNNNNNNNNNNNNNNNNNNNNNNNNNNNNNNNNNNNNGCCGUACAGCAGAUUUAUAUCAAUAAUUAUGAUGUAAAAAUAAAAGAAAAUAAAAAUUAAUAUUAUAUAAUAUUAUAUUAAAUUAAAAAAUUGUAUUUAUUUAUUAUUAUUAACAAAAGCAAAAGUAAAAAGGAAAAAAAUAAAAAAAAAAACUAAAGCAAAACGCUAAUGCGCUAGUUGGCGCAUUAGUAUACCCCCUUAAUUCCUUGUAAAUUCCAAAUAUAAUAUUGGUAUUAAGUUAAUGUAAAUAGUAUUUUAAUACUAGUAAUCCCAUGAUCCAAACACACCCUUAAUUAUUUCAGUAAUCACAAUUUAUUCUUAUUCACUCCUUAAAGGAAUUAGCGUCAGCUGAUUUAAAAAGCAAGAGAAAGCACCAGCUAGCAAAGUAUCUGAUGCAAACUCAUGAGCUGAUGAGGAAUUAAUGUGAUACCACUUUGUAACGUACUCUUUUUCCAAAUCACCGAAAAGAAAAAUAAAUAAAUAAAAUAAAGCACUAUCUGACGUAUCAUGUUUAAGAAUAAUUUUUUACUACUAUUUUGUUCCUUGCUUGAUUCUACUUCAAUUCCUGCAUGAAUUAAAUCUUACGCCAAUUGCUUGCAGAAAGUCAUUCAAUCGAAUUGAAAUUUAUACAUAGGAGAUUGAAUCCAGAAUUCGAGUCGUCGAGAAACUCAAUUUCCAACAAUAAAUUUCUCAGAAGCAUAAGAAUAUAUGUAUUAUGAAAUUCACUAUUCCUUAGAAGUGACGACCUAAAACUCAAGAAUUGUUAUUUAAACUUUUAACUUGAUCGACCAUGAAAACGUUUACUAUCAGUUUUCCUUGUUAAAUUCAAAGUGAGGAUACCUCCACUAAAGCAGGAUUUUACACACGCGCGCGCGCGCACACACACAUAUAUAUAUAUAUAAUAUAUUAGUCGAAGAUGAUGGGACGGGACUUGGGCUGGCCUUAAUUUGUCUUUUCGGAUUUGUUAGACUUGAUAAGAGUAAAUCUUAUCUUUACUAUAAGAUAAAAGUCUGAGUAGGUUUGGCCCACACUAUCUCAACAGUUAAAAUAAUAAAAUAAUUUACUAAUAUUCAACAAUGAUAUUCUCACAAAAAUGGAUACAAAGGUUUGUACAAUGAGGGCCUUUUUACAAAUCAUUUCAAAGUUUUGUGUUAUUUUUAUAAUUUAUGAAUUUUAUUAAUUUUGAUUGAUUCGAGGAUUUCCCAUUCUAUCUCUUCAACAUCUAAUUUUAAAUUUCUUUAAAGUUUUGACCAUAUCUUUAUAGAGUUCUAAAUGAUUAUCUUUUUCAUAAAAAGCUAUACUUAAAUUAAUCCCUGAAUUUAUAAUCAUUUGUCUUCUUUGAGUUAUAGACCAAAUUUUUUCUUCUAACAUAUCUAUGUAUACUCCUAAGCCAUCUUCCCAGCUUAGAUACAUUCUAUCAAAACUUUCGCAUAUAAAUUGUAAUUUGAGAUCAGCAUCUUGAAUCAACAUCUCUAUAUUAUUAUUAUUAUUUAUUGUUUUACGCUUGAUUUUGAGUUUUAUUAUUAUUAUUUCGAGGGUAGUUAAAAUUGAUUCUAUUAAUGUUAUCCUGUUUUCUUCUUCAAAAGAAUCGAAUAUUUCUGGAUCAUUAAUUUCGUUUAUUUGUUCAGAUAAGCGUUUGUUUGCAGUUAAUCUAGUUUUAAUCAACGAAAUUGUAUAAGCAACUUGAUAUUCUUGACAAAAGUCUAAAUGAUCUAUUGCAUCUAAAAAUUUAUUAACAGAUCUUUCCAUUUUUAAGAAAUUGAGUUACUCUUAUCACUUCCAAUCUUACAACAUCUCAUAAAACAAACAAGGCCCAACAUACUUCCAUUUGUAGUUAAAAUAAUAGAAGAGUUCAGAUUACUAACCAAUGUACUAUCUCUCGGAAUUCUGAGAUAGACUCACUUAUUGCCUCCAGCCAUAGAGAGGUCCAUGGUCAGCACCGCCAUAGCUCCACACAUCAUACACGAUCACUUCAAAGACUGUUCCACAUGGCCCAACACAACACACACCAAAAUGACCUAAUAGGAUAUGUCUAAAUGAUUUCCUUGCAGUUGUCUCUGGAAGAGUGCUUAGUAAUAGAAAAUCUUCUUCGUUUAGUACAAGUAUUGGCAUGUAAGAUUCUUGGUUAAUUUUCAAAAGAUGUUUAAGAUAUCUGGAAGAUGAUAAUUUCACUCAAAAACAUUUUAUUUAUUUCAUUAUUGAAAUUGUUUACAGAGGGAGGUUACAUAUAUUACAUAGGUAAUUGAAGGUUAGACACAUGCUGU